AGACCUUAUGAAUAUAUAGGUAGGGUGGCUGGGCAGGUGCAAAAUUCUGGCCACAGAUGGAGGACAUCUUGGUGCACAACCUUGGCUCUUUUCAGAUGAGUAGUAGCUUAUCUUCUGACCCCACCUUGGCUCAGUUUAACUCCAUGGGCACACAUUCUCUUUUUCUAGGUUCAGCUUUCCUCCUAUGUCUCUCUGGUUCUCCAAGAAUCUUACCCUGGAGCUCAGAUUGAACUGAGCCCUUGGCUUGUCUGCUGACCUUCUCAGUGGGUCCCCAGGCAGCCAUGGAUGUGGGUCUCUUGGUCCCGCCAGAUGUACCCCAGGGUUGCGGCAAAACCCUGAGGCGACCGUGGGGCCGGCGUACGGCCGUGCGUCGGCAGCGGGAGUUCAUGCCAGAAGAGAAGAAGGAUACGGUUUACUGGGAGAAGCGGAGGAAGAACAACGAAGCGGCCAAGAGAUCCCGGGAGAAGCGACGUCUCAAUGACGCGGCCCUAGAGGGCAGGCUGGACGCAUUGCUUGAGGAGAACGCUCAGCUCAGGGCUGAGCUACGGGCUCUCAAACAUCGCUUUGGUCUCCUGCCCCCCACUGGUGGUACCUGGACCCUGCCCACUCUGCUAUGGGAGUCGCCCUGGGCUGGAGACCCCCACCCUAGGGCUGAACAGCUUCCCUCUCUUCCCGCUUCCCAUGGCUGCCUCUUGAGACCGUGUUCCUUGGACGCUGGUGUUCCAGGAUGCUGGGGCUGCCUGGUGGCUCCCAGCUGGACUGGCCUGGCCACUUCCCCCAGGUCCCUCCAGGACCCUGCACCCCCUACCCCCAAGAGAAUGGACAUGGCCUUGCAGAGUUCUCUUCCAGCCACCUUCUUCAGCUGUCACCCCCUGGAUAGACAUGAGGGGCCCAGACCAGAGCUCAGGCCCUGCUGGGGGCUGUGGUCACUCAUACCCACUGGUUGCCGGGCCUCAGGGUGCUCAGAUGUGUUGCUGACGCCCAGUGUUGAUCCCGUGGGGUUGCCUCCUGGGGUGGCCUUCCCGGUCCCUGGGAAUGAUCCAGAGGAUCUGGCUCAGCCCUCCCUGCCCCACAAAUUGCGCAUCAAGUCCCAAGCCUCAGGCAGAGUACCUUGCGACUGGGGGGGUGGCUGAGCCCCCAUCUGAAAGCUUCUCCUGGGCAAGGCCAGGCCUGCCAGGGUGCAGUGGGGAUUGAUCGUGGGUUUGUCUGGGGGUAUGAGUGGCUUGGCCUUGACCCAGCUCCCAAGACUGGGAAAGGCCUGUGGGAGGCGGUGGGUGCCCUGGCUGGGGGGAGGGUCCACUUCUUAGUGUCCAGACCAGACCUUUAAGAGGAGAGGCUGGGGUACCUUGGAUCGUACCAUGGCUCCUAUCCUGCCUAAAAUAUUUGUUUUGGGUAGUCACUUUUUUUUCCUUCUUCCAUUCAUCCAUUCAUCUACCCACUCAUCCAUCCAUCCACCCACCCAUCUACUCAU